AAUCAACGCUGGCGGCGUGCCUAACACAUGCAAGUCGAACGCGAAAGUGGAGCAAUCCAUGAGUAGAGUGGCAAACGGGUGAGUAACACGUGGGUGACCUGCCUUCGAGUGGGGGAUAACGUCCCGAAAGGGACGCUAAUACCGCAUAACAUCCUGCCUUUGAAGAGGCGGAAAUCAAAGCUGGGGAUCGCAAGACCUAGCGCUUGAAGAGGGGCCCGCGUCCGAUUAGCUAGUUGGUGGGGUAAUGGCUCACCAAGGCAACGAUCGGUAGCCGGCCUGAGAGGGCGGACGGCCACACUGGGACUGAGACACGGCCCAGACUCCUACGGGAGGCAGCAGUGGGGAAUUGUUCGCAAUGGGCGCAAGCCUGACGACGCAACGCCGCGUGGAGGAUGAAGAUCUUCGGGUCGUAAACUCCUUUCGAUCGAGACGAAUGGCCCCGGGUUAAUACUCCGGGGAGUGACGGUACCGAGAGAAGAAGCCCCGGCUAACUCCGUGCCAGCAGCCGCCGC
rnacentral:rRNA from 1 species